rnacentral:rRNA from 1 species
ACCAUGCAAGUCGAACGGUGAUAUCGGAGCUUGCUCUGGUUGAUCAGUGGCGAACGGGUGAGUAACACGUGAGUAACCUGCCCUUGACUCUGGGAUAACUCCGGGAAACCGGGGCUAAUACCGGAUACGAGACGCGACCGCAUGGUCGGCGUCUGGAAAGUUUUUCGGUCAAGGAUGGACUCGCGGCCUAUCAGCUUGUUGGUGAGGUAAUGGCUCACCAAGGCGUCGACGGGUAGCCGGCCUGAGAGGGCGACCGGCCACACUGGGACUGAGACACGGCCCAGACUCCUACGGGAGGCAGCAGUGGGGAAUAUUGCACAAUGGGCGAAAGCCUGAUGCAGCGACGCCGCGUGAGGGAUGAAGGCCUUCGGGUUGUAAACCUCUUUCAGUAGGGAAGAAGCGAAAGUGACGGUACCUGCAGAAGAAGCGCCGGCUAACUACGUGCCAGCAGCCGCGGUAAUACGUAGGGCGCAAGCGUUGUCCGGAAUUAUUGGGCGUAAAGAGCUCGUAGGCGGUUUGUCGCGUCUGGUGUGAAAACUCAAGGCUCAACCUUGAGCUUGCAUCGGGUACGGGCAGACUAGAGUGUGGUAGGGGUGACUGGAAUUCCUGGUGUAGCGGUGGAAUGCGCAGAUAUCAGGAGGAACACCGAUGGCGAAGGCAGGUCACUGGGCCACUACUGACGCUGAGGAGCGAAAGCAUGGGGAGCGAACAGGAUUAGAUACCCUGGUAGUCCAUGCCGUAAACGUUGGGCACUAGGUGUGGGGCUCAUUCCACGAGUUCCGCGCCGCAGCUAACGCAUUAAGUGCCCCGCCUGGGGAGUACGGCCGCAAGGCUAAAACUCAAAGGAAUUGACGGGGGCCCGCACAAGCGGCGGAGCAUGCGGAUUAAUUCGAUGCAACGCGAAGAACCUUACCAAGGCUUGACAUACACCGGAAUCAUGCAGAGAUGUGUGCGUCUUCCGACUGGUGUACAGGUGGUGCAUGGUUGUCGUCAGCUCUUGCCUG